rnacentral:rRNA from 1 species
GACGAACGCUGGCGGCGUGCCUAAUACAUGCAAGUUGAGCGCUGAAGGUUGGUACUUGUACCGACUGGAUGAGCAGCGAACGGGUGAGUAACGCGUGGGGAAUCUGCCUUUGAGCGGGGGACAACAUUUGGAAACGAAUGCUAAUACCGCAUAAAAACUUUAAACACAAGUUUUAAGUUUGAAAGAUGCAAUUGCAUCACUCAAAGAUGAUCCCGCGUUGUAUUAGCUAGUUGGUGAGGUAAAGGCUCACCAAGGCGAUGAUACAUAGCCGACCUGAGAGGGUGAUCGGCCACAUUGGGACUGAGACACGGCCCAAACUCCUACGGGAGGCAGCAGGAGGGAAUCUUCGGCAAUGGACGAAAGUCUGAACGAGCAACGCCGCGUGAGGGAAGAAGGGUUUCGGAUCGUAAAACUCUGUUGGUAGAGAAGAACGUUGGUGAGAGUGGAAAGCUCAUCAAGUGACGGUAACUACCCAGAAAGGGACGGCUAACUACGUG